rnacentral:rRNA from 1 species
UUUUCGGAGAGUUUGAUCCUGGCUCAGGAUUAACGCUGGCGGCGUGCAUGAAACAUGCAAGUCGAGCGCGGUACGUGGCUUCGGUCACGUAUCUAGCGGCGCACGGGUGAGUAACACGU